CCUACGGGAGGCAGCAGUGGGGAAUAUUGCACAAUGGGGGAAACCCUGAUGCAGCGACGCCGCGUGAGUGAAGAAGUAAUUCGGUAUGUAAAGCUCUAUCAGCAGGGAAGAAACUGACGGUACCUGAGUAAGAAGCCCCGGCUAACUACGUGCAAGCAGCCGCGGUAAUACGUAGGGGGCAAGCGUUAUCCCGAUUUACUGGGUGUAAAGGGAGCGUAGACGGCAGUGCAAGUCUGGAGUGAAAGGCGGGGGCUCAACCCCCGGACUGCUCUGGAAACUGUACGGCUGGAGUGCAGGAGAGGUAAGUGGAAUUCCUAGUGUAGCGGUGAAAUGCGUAGAUAUUAGGAGGAACACCAGUGGCGAAGGCGGCUUACUGGACUGUAACUGACGUUGAGGCUCGAAAGCGUGGGGAGCAAACAGGAUUAGAUACCCCUGUAGUC
rnacentral:rRNA from 1 species